rnacentral:rRNA from 1 species
GCAAGUCGAACGGGAUUUUUUGUGUAGUAAUACAUAAAAAGUCUAGUGGCGUACGGGUGCGUAACACGUGAGCAAUCUGCCGGGAAGUGUGGGAUAGCUCGCCGAAAGGCGAAUUAAUACCGCAUGUGGCCAGAGGGGACAUCCCUUCGACGCCAAAGUCGCAAGACGCUUCCUGAUGAGCUCGCGGCCUAUCAGCUUGUUGGUGAGGUAAUGGCUCACCAAGGCUUUGACGGGUAGCUGGUCUGAGAGGACGACCAGCCACACUGGAACUGAGACACGGUCCAGACACCUACGGGUGGCAGCAGUCGAGAAUUUUUCACAAUGGGGGCAACCCUGAUGGAGCGACGCCGCGUGGAGGAUGAAGGUCUUCGGAUUGUAAACUCCUGUCAUGCGAGAACAAGAAAGUGAUAGUAUCGCAAGAGGAAGAGACGGCUAACUCUGUGCCAGCAGCCGCGGUAAUACAGAGGUCUCAAGCGUUGUUCGGAUUCAUUGGGCGUAGAGGGUGCGUAGGCGGCGUGGUAAGUUGAGUGUGAAAUCCUAGGGCUUAACCUUAGAACUGCACUCAAUACUGCCAUGCUUGAGGAAUGUAGAGGAGAGUGGAAUUCACGGUGUAGCAGUGAAAUGCGUAGAUAUCGUGAGGAAGACCAGUUGCGAAGGCGACUCUCUGGGCAUUUCCUGACGCUGAGGCACGAAGGCCAGGGGAGCAAACGGGAUUAGAUACCCCGGUAGUCCUGGCAGUAAACGGUGCACAUUUGGUGUGGGCGGGUUCAGACCCCGUCCGUGCCGGAGCUAACGCGUUAAAUGUGCCGCCUGGGAAGUACGGUCGCAAGAUUAAAACUCAAAGAAAUUGACGGGGGCCCGCACAAGCGGUGGAGUAUGUGGCUUAAUUCGAUGCAACGCGAAGAACCUUACCUGGUCUUGACAUGCAUCUCUAAGUUAGUGAAAGCUAGCGACUUGGUAGCAUAUCAUGAAUUUGCACAGGUGCUGCAUGGCUGUCG